UACGUAGGGGGCAAGCGUUGUCCGGAUUUAUUGGGCGUAAAGAGCGUGUAGGCGGCCAUGUAGGUCCGUUGUGAAAACUCGAGGCUCAACCUCGAAGACGCCGAUGGAAACCAUGUGGCUAGAGUCCGGAAGAGGAGAGUGGAAUUCCUGGUGUAGCGGUGAAAUGCGCAGAUAUCAGGAAGAACACCCGUGGCUAAGGCGGCUCUCUAGUACGGUACUGACGCUGAGACGCGAAAGCGUGGGGAGCGAACAGG
rnacentral:rRNA from 1 species